rnacentral:rRNA from 1 species
GAUGAACGCUGGCGGCGUGCCUAAUACAUGCAAGUCGAGCGAACGGACGAGAAGCUUGCUUUUCUGAUGUUAGCGGCGGACGGGUGAGUAACACGUGGAUAACCUACCUAUAAGACUGGGAUAACUUCGGGAAACCGGAGCUAAUACCGGAUAAUAUUUUGAACCGCAUGGUUCAAAAGUGAAAGACGGUCUUGCUGUCACUUAUAGAUGGAUCCGCGCUGCAUUAGCUAGUUGGUAAGGUAACGGCUUACCAAGGCAACGAUGCAUAGCCGACCUGAGAGGUGGACUGGCACACACGGAAAAGGAAACCGGCCACGGAGUCCGGGGGGGGGCACAAGGGGGAAAUAUCCGGAAAGGGGGGAAAGCCGGAGGGACAACCUCCGGGUGAGGAAUAAAGUUUUUGGUAUCUUAAAACUUUGUUAUGAGGGAAAAACAUUUGUUAAAGUAAUUGGCCCCUCUUGGCGGUGCCUUAACAAGAAGCCCCCGCCUAACUCGGGC